CACGUAGGGUGCGAGCGUUGUCCGGAAUUAUUGGGCGUAAAGAGCUCGUAGGCGGUGUGUCGCGUCGGCCGUGAAAACCUGCAGCUUAACUGUGGGCUUGCGGUCGAUACGGGCAUCACUGGAGUUCGGCAGGGGAGACUGGAAUUCCUGGUGUAGCGGUGAAAUGCGCAGAUAGUCAGGAGGGAGCACCGGUGGCGAAGGCGGGUCUCUGGGCCGAUACUGACGC
rnacentral:rRNA from 1 species